UACGGAGGGGGCUAGCGUUGUUCGGAAUUACUGGGCGUAAAGCGCGCGUAGGCGGCUUAGCAAGUUAGAGGUGAAAGCCCGGGGCUUAACUCCGGAAUUGCCUUUAAAACUGCAAAGCUAGAAUCAUGGAGAGGUGAGUGGAAUUCCGAGUGUAGAGGUGAAAUUCGUAGAUAUUCGGAAGAACACCAGUGGCGAAGGCGACUCACUGGACAUGUAUUGACGCUGAGGUGCGAAAGCGUGGGGAGCAAACAGG
rnacentral:rRNA from 1 species